rnacentral:tRNA from 1 species
GCAGUGGUGGCUCAGUGGUAGAAUUCUCACCUUCCAUGUGGGAGACCCAGGUUCUAUUCCAGCCAGUGCA